rnacentral:lncRNA from 1 species
CUUUCCUCCGAGACUUAUUGAUGUAAUCGAGGAUACUUUCACAGUCUUUAGUCCAAUAUGUGGCGGCACAGUCUUUAGUUCAAACUGUAAACGUUUAGCUGAGGUUGGACAACUACUAGUUGUUUCACUUUCCUUGCAGGUGUUCUCUCGUUCACCGUUGACCUGGUCGAGAUGUUGAGAGGGUUUUUAGAGGAUUCGGUGAUAGGCAAGAUCACUUAUCUUUCACACUGGACUGGGGCUGGCUGUUAUGCUCUUCUCUCUCUACUUUUCCUUUUUGCGUCUUGUGUAACUCUUGGAACUGACUGCCCGCCUCUUCUAAUAUUUUUUGACCUUUUAUUCUUGUUCUUCGUUAUCAGUAUUGUGGACAAGAGAUCUCUUAUCAUUAAUGGGCGUAUUCAAUCGGGAAUUAAGGAAUGUCCCCUGUCGAUUUUGCUUUGAUCCUCCUAACUCCAUAUUGACACGAAAUUAAGAUAAAAUUCUUGUUUUCUUCAAUGAAGCGGACUUUCUCUUGUUAUCGGUAAGAAACAACAAGAUUACUGCAGUACUAUGUGUGGGUUUGCACCUUUUC